UUUGAACACGGAAUGCACAUGUUUUGGUUUUCGACUAGUAACGUUAAGUAGCUAAAUAUCCAUUACGAGUGGUCUUAAGUGAAAAAGUCCUUCCAUAUCAAGGAUCAAACCUUAUAGAAGUUGUUUCUAAGGUCUUAUUGAAGAUGGGCAAUUCUCAGUCUGACAGUGAAUGCAGUUUUCAUGACAGUGAACUCAGUUUUCACAAUAGUGAACGGAGGUUUCAUGGCAGUGAACACAGUUUUCAUGACAGUGAACGCAAUUUUCAUGGCAGUGAACGCAGUUCUGAUGGUG